rnacentral:rRNA from 1 species
GUAGUCUCGCACAGAUGCAUAUCAAUAAGCGGAGGAAAAGAAACUAACAAGGAUUCCCCUAGUAACGGCGAGUGAAGCGGGAAGAGCUCAAAUUUGAAAUCUUAAAGGGUUUCCCUUUACGAAUUGUAGUUUAAAGAAGUGUUUUCUGUUGAGGUUUUGGUAAAAGUUCUUUGGAAUAGGACAUCAUAGAGGGUGAGAAUCCCGUAUUUGACCUUUACUUUCAACUUUGUGAUACACUUUCAAAGAGUCGGAUUGUUUGGGAAUGCAGUCCAAAAUGGGUGGUAAAUUUCAUCUAAAGCUAAAUAUUGGCGAGAGACCGAUAGCGAACAAGUACCGUGAGGGAAAGAUGAAAAGAACUUUGAAAAGAGAGUUAAACAGUACGUGAAAUUGUCAAAAGGGAAGCGUUUGACACCAGUGUUGUUUUUCUGAAAAUCAAUUAAAGAACUGUUUAUGCUAAGUUGUUUAGACUUUAUCAGCUAUACUGUUUAGUUUUGAGCUUUUCUUUAAUGCACUUUUCAGUUAACAAGUCAACAUCAAUUUCUUUUGCUGUAAAAAAGCUUGAGGAAGGUGGCUUGAGAUUCGUCUUAAGUGUUUAUAGCCUCUUGCCUAUGCAGUCGGAGAGAUUGAGGUCUGCAGCGUAGAUCCUUCGGGGCUAAAUGCAUUUGUGCUAAGUUAUAGCAUUUUAUAGACAACUUGUUGACUAUGAUUUGUCUAGUAGCUUACUCGCUUAUGUUAUUUUACCUACGCUUAGGAUGUUGACGCAUGAGAUAUACGC